rnacentral:rRNA from 1 species
GUGGGGAAUAUUGGACAAUGGGCGAAAGCCUGAUCCAGCGACGCCGCGUGUGUGAAGAAGGCCUGCGGGUUGUAAAGCACUUUCGAUGGGAACGAAAUGUGCCGGGCUAAUACCCCGGCAAGCUGACGUUACUCAAUGAAGAAGCACCGGCUAACUCUGUGCCAGCAGCCGCGGUAAUACAGAGGGUGCGAGCGUUAAUCGGAAUUACUGGGCGUAAAGCGCACGUAGGUGGCGACGUAAGUCGGGUGUGAAAGCCCCGGGCUCAACCUGGGAAUUGCAUUCGAGACUGCAUUGCUGGAGUACGGAAGAGGAGGGCGGAAUUCCCGGUGUAGCGGUGAAAUGCGUAGAUAUCGGGAGGAACAUCAGUGGCGAAGGCGGCCCUCUGGUCCAGUACUGACACUCAAGUGCGAAAGCGUGGGGAGCAAACAGGAUUAGAUACCCGUGUAGUCC